rnacentral:rRNA from 1 species
AAUAGAUACCCGGGUAGUCCACGCCGUAAACGUUGGGCACUAGGUGUGGGGAGCCGUCAACGCUCUCUGUGCCGUAGCUAACGCAUUAAGUGCCCCGCCUGGGGAGUACGGCCGCAAGGCUAAAACUCAAAGGAAUUGACGGGGGGCCCGCACAAGCGGCGGAGCAUGUUGCUUAAUUCGAGGCAACGCGAAGAACCUUACCUAGGUUGAACUAUGCAGGAAAAGCCACAGAGAUGUGGUGUCCUUCGGGGCCUGCGAUAGGUGGUGCAUGGCUGUCGUCAGCUCGUGUCGUGAGAUGUUGGGUUAAGUCCCGCAACGAGCGCAACCCUUGUCCUAUGUUGCCAGCGGGUAAAGCCGGGGACUCGUAGGAGACUGCCGGGGUCAACUCGGAGGAAGGUGGGGACGACGUCAAGUCAUCAUGCCCCUUAUGUCUAGGGCUGCAAACAUGCUACAAUGGCCGGUACAGAGGGCUGCGAAACCGCGAGGUCGAGCGAAUCCCAAAAAGCCGGUCUCAGUUCGGAUUGAAGUCUGCAACUCGACUU